UACGUAGGCAGCGAGCGUUGUUCGGAGUUACUGGGCGUAAAGGGUGCGUAGGCGGUUGUUUAAGUUUGGUGUGAAAUCUCCCGGCUCAACUGGGAGGGUGCGCCGAAUACUGAAUGACUAGAGUGCGGGAGAGGAUAGUGGAAUUCCUGGUGUAGCGGUGAAAUGCGUAGAUAUCAGGAGGAACACCGGUGGUGUAGACGGCUCGCUGGGACGUUACUGACGCUGAGGCGCGAAAGCGUGGGGAGCGAACAGG
rnacentral:rRNA from 1 species